GAACGCUAGCGGUAUGCUUAACACAUGCAAGUCGUACGAAAAAGAAAUUUUUAGUGGCGGACGGGUGAGUAACGCGUGGGCAACCUGCCCUGUAUAAAGGGAUAGCCACUGGAAACGGUGAUUAAUACCUUAUAAGACUACAGAAACACAUGUUUCAGUAGCCAAAGCUCCGGCGAUACAGGAUGGGCCCGCGUUUGAUUAGCUAGUUGGUGAGGUAACGGCUCACCAAGGCGACGAUCAAUAGCCGACCUGAGAGGGUGAUC
rnacentral:rRNA from 1 species